AGUGAACGCUGGCGGUAGGCCUAACACAUGCAAGUCGAACGGCAGCACAGUAAGAGCUUGCUCUUACGGGUGGCGAGUGGCGGACGGGUGAGGAAUACAUCGGAAUCUACUUUUUCGUGGGGGAUAACGUAGGGAAACUUACGCUAAUACCGCAUACGACCUACGGGUGAAAGCAGGGGAUCUUCGGACCUUGCGCGAUUGAAUGGGCCGAUGUCGGAUUAGCUAGUUGGCGGGGUAAAGGCCCACCAAGGCGACGAUCCGUAGCUGGUCUGAGAGGAUGAUCAGCCACACUGGAACUGAGACACGGUCCAGACUCCUACGGGAGGCAGCAGUGGGGAAUAUUGGACAAAGGGCGCAAGCCUGAUCCAGCCAUACCGCGUGGGUGAAGAAGGCCUUCGGGUUGUAAAGCCCUUUUGUUGGGAAAGAAAAGCAGCAGGUUAAUACCCCGCUGUUCUGACGGUACCCAAUGAAUAAGCACCGGCUAACUUCGUG
rnacentral:rRNA from 1 species